rnacentral:rRNA from 1 species
GACGUAGGGCGCGAGCGUUGUCCAGAUUUAUUGGGCGUAAAGAGCUCGUAGGCGGCUUGUCGCGUCGUCCGUGAAAACCCAUGGCUCAACUGUGGGCUUGCGGUCGAUACGGGCAGGCUGGAGUUCGGUAGGGGAGACUGGAAUUCCUGGUGUAGCGGUGAAAUGCGCAGAUAUCAGGAAGAACACCCGUGGCGAAAGCGGCUCUCUGGAACGGUACUGACGCUGAGACGCGAAAGCGUGGGGAGCGAACAGG